rnacentral:rRNA from 1 species
ACUGAGUGGCAGACGGGUGAGUAACAUGUGGGAAUCUGCCUUGUGGUUCAGGACAACAUUGGGAAACCGAUGCUAAUACUGGAUAAGCCCUUACGGGGAAAGUUUUAAUGCCAUAAGAUGAGCCCGCAUUUGAUUAGUUAGUUGGUGAGGUAAUGGCUCACCAAGACAAUGAUCAAUAGCUGAUCUGAGAGGAUGAUCAGCCACACUGGGACUGAGACACGGCCCAGACUCCUACGGGAGGCAGCAGUGGGGAAUCUUGCACAAUGGAGGAAACUCUGAUGCAGCGAUGCCGCGUGAGUGAAGAAGGCCUUUGGGUUGUAAAGCUCUUUUGUAGGGGAAGAUAAUGACUGUACCCUAAGAAUAAGGUCCGGCUAACUUCGUGCCAGCAGCCGCGGUAAUACGAAGGGACCUAGCGUAGUUCGGAAUUACUGGGCGUAAAGCGCGCGUAGGCCGUUGAGUUAGUUAAUUGUGAAAUCCCAAAGCUUAACUUUGGAACUGCAAUUAAAACUGCUCGACUAGAGUUUGAUAGAGGAAAGCGGAAUACAUAGUGUAGAGGUGAAAUUCGUAGAUAUUAUGUAGAACACCAGUUGCGAAGGCGGCUUUCUGGAUCAACACUGACGCUGAGGCGCGAAAGUAUGGGUAGCAAAGAGGAUUAGAUACCCUCGUAGUCCAUACCAUAAACGAUGAUUGCUAGAUGUUGGAAAUUUAUUUUCAGUAUCGCAGCUAACGCAUUAAGCAAUCCGCCUGGGGAGUACGACCGCAAGGUUAAAACUCAAAUGAAUUGACGGGGANCCGCACAAGCGGUGGAGCAUGUGGUUUAAUUCGAAGAUACGCGCAGAACCUUACCAACCCUUGACAUGUCUGUCGCGAGUUUA